UACGUAGGGGGCAAGCGUUGUCCGGAAUCAUUGGGCGUAAAGAGCGCGUAGGCGGCCCGGUAAGUCCGCUGUAAAAGUCCAGGGCUCAACCCUGGAAAGCCGGUGGAUACUGUCGGGCUAGAGUCCGGAAGAGGCGAGUGGAAUUCCUGGUGUAGCGGUGAAAUGCGCAGAUAUCAGGAGGAACACCGGUGGCGAAGGCGGGUCUCUGGGCCGAUACUGACGCUGAGGAGCGAAAGCGUGGGGAGCGAACAGG
rnacentral:rRNA from 1 species